rnacentral:rRNA from 1 species
UUUGAUCAUGGCUCAGAAUCAACGCUGGCGGCGCGCUUAACACAUGCAAGUCGCACGAGAAAGUGGAGCAAUCCAUGAGUACAGUGGCGUACGGGUGAGUAACACGUGGAUCAUCUACCUUUUAGUGGGGAAUACCCCCGGGAAACUGGGGAUAAUACCGCAUAGUCUCGUAAGAGGAAAGCAGCAAUGCGCUGAAAGAGGAGUCCGCGGCUGAUUAGCUAGUUGGUGAGGUAAUGGCUCACCAAGGCGAAGAUCGGUAGCCGGCCUGAGAGGGCACACGGCCACACUGGCACUGAAACACGGGCCAGACUCCUACGGGAGGCAGCAGUGGGGAAUCUUGCACAAUGGAGGAAACUCUGAUGCAGCGACGCCGCGUGAGCGAUGAAGCCCUUCGGGGUGUGAAGCUCUUUCGACGGGAACGAUAAUGACGGUGCCCGAAGAAGAAGCUGCGGCUAACUACGUGCCAGCAGCCGCGGUAAUACGUAGGCAGCAAGCGUUGUUCGGAAUUACUGGGCGUAAAGAGUGUGUAGGCGGUGCUCUAAGUCUGUUGUGAAAUCUCCCGGCUUAACCGGGAGGGUGCGGCGGAAACUGGAGUGCUUGAGGGUGGGAGAGGUAAGCGGAAUUCCUGGUGUAGCGGUGAAAUGCGUAGAUAUCAGGAGGAACACCUGUG